rnacentral:rRNA from 1 species
AUACGUAGGGUGCGAGCGUUGUCCGGAAUUACUGGGCGUAAAGAGCUCGUAGGUGGUUUGUCGCGUCGUCUGUGAAAUUCCGGGGCUUAACUCCGGGCGUGCAGGCGAUACGGGUAUAACUUGAGUACUGUAGGGGAGACUGGAAUUCCUGGUGUAGCGGUGAAAUGCGCAGAUAUCAGGAGGAACACCGGUGGCGAAGGCGGGUCUCUGGGCAGUAACUGACGCUGAGGAGCGAAAGCAUGGGUAGCGAACAGGAUUAGAUACCCUGGUAGUCCAUGCCGUAAACGGUGGGCGCUAGGUGUAGGGGUCUUCCACGACUUCUGUGCCGUAGCUAACGCAUUAAGCGCCCCGCCUGGGGAGUACGGCCGCAAGGCUAAAACUCAAAGGAAUUGGCGGGG